rfam:Flavobacterium micromati strain DSM 17659 genome assembly, contig: Ga0131131_101
AUACAAGAGGAAAAAUUUGAACUGAUUGCAACCUCUUCAUAAUGAAAACUAUUCAUUGUGAAUACUGAAAAUCUUCAGUAGAAAAAAUGCUAAAGCAGAAACU